CCUACGGGAGGCAGCAGUAGGGAAUCUUCGGCAAUGGACGAAAGUCUGACCGAGCAACGCCGCGUGAGUGAAGAAGGUUUUCGGAUCGUAAAACUCUGUUGGUAGAGAAGAACGAUGGUGAGAGUGGAAAGCUCAUCAAGUGACGGUAACUACCCAGAAAGGGACGGCUAACUACGUGCCAGCAGCCGCGGUAAUACGUAGGCCCCGAGCGUUGUCCGGAUUUAUUGGGCGUAAAGCGAGCGCAGGUGGUUUAUUAAGUCUGGUGUAAAAGGCAGUGGCUCAACCAUUGUAUGCAUUGGAAACUGGUAGACUUGAGUGCAGGAGAGGAGAGUGGAAUUCCAUGUGUAGCGGUGAAAUGCGUAGAUAUAUGGAGGAACACCGGUGGCGAAAGCGGCUCUCUGGCCUGUAACUGACACUGAGGCUCGAAAGCGUGGGGAGCAAACAGGAUUAGAUACCCCCGUAGUC
rnacentral:rRNA from 1 species